AGAUAAUUGAGGCCUAUCAAGUAGCAUGUGUGUUUAUUGUGUUCCCUUGAAUACAAUUCAGCCAAUUCAAUAACACACUUAGAUCUAGAUCUAGAUAUAGACUUAGACCUAGGUCUAGACCUAGACACUAGAGGAGGAGUGACUAGACUGAGUAGAAUCUGGUCUAGAUCUAGAUCUGGUCUUGGCUCAUCAUUUCAAAUUGAAAAUAGUGAUGGCUCAUGCAGGCCAUACACAUGUCAACGAUAAUACAAAAAAUAAUCAUGGACAUGGUAGUAAUUUUACGUCACCAAAAAAGUUCAAGAUUGUUUCUAAAGAUUUUGGUGUCCAGGCCAUUGAUCGAACACUCAAACGAGUUUACCCCGAACCACUGAACCCCUUUUCAGUCUCAAGCCCGGAGAAAAAAAUAUGGAAUGGUGGGUUGCUGCCACUAGACUAUGUCAAAGUGUUCCUAAAUUUAGGAACCCCUUUCUAUAGAAUACCACACUGGCACUAUGUGACCUAUGGUCUUUCUGAUCUUCACGGGGAUGGUAGAGUUCAUGUGUUCAAAGGUAGAGAUCAGCCCAGUGGCUUUGGUUUUGAGCUUACUUUUCGUCUUAAAAAAGAUUCUAAUGAAAACGUGCCUCCUUCCUGGCCAGUGACAUUGCUGAAUGAUUUAAGUCGAUAUGUUUUUAAAACAGGUAUUGAACUUUGUACAUUUGAUUAUAUACCAUGGUUUGAUGCACUCAAUAAAGUUGGAAAGGAAAGGUCCAGAAAUCCAAUUAUUACACCUUGUCCAUCUAAUUCCUAUAUAAAUCAUAUGAUAGUUGUUAAUGACCCUCAGCUGCUCAGCUUAGAUACUGCAUCUGGGACAGUGAACUUUUUACAGAUAGUUGGUGUGCUCAAAGAAGAAUUUCAUUACGCAAGGUCAUGGAAAACAUCUGGUAUUGUAGACCAGCUUGAAAUACAUCCUCAAUCAGGCAACAUGCUAGUCACUGAUAUCUCACGUAAAAUAUCAGUUUUUGAUCUCAAUCCAAGACUUGUCUUGGAAAUAUUCUCUAAAAUCGAAUCAGAGGGUACGUUUUUAAAUAAAGUGACUUGUCAUGUUUUGUGGAAGGAAAUCACUGAUGAAACAGAUACAGUUGAGGGUCCAGAGAAUGUGAGCUUAAAUGAGCAAGAUGAAUUUCGCAAGAUGAAGUGUGUACAUCUGGAUUUUGAUGCCAAUGCAGCAGAACUUCUGCCAAUAAUGCUAUGGGGACGACUGAGGCAUGGUAGAAACUUUGUGUUCAAUAACCCUGGUUGCUGUGAAGGCCUUGACUGUCUAACCAUUGAGUUUAUACCAUAUAAUGUUCCACCUAGUCCAGAUGUUUAUGUCACUGCCAAUAGCCCAUUGAAAGCCAACAUGAAUAAACACCAUUUGCAGAUCUUUUGCGGUAAAGCAAUUAUUCAAAAAAUGGAAAUGGCAUUCUCAGGAAUGGAGAGACUUAGAGAGACGUGAUGGGAUCAUAGCACAGUGAGAAAGCUAAAACCAUGAAAUUGUGCUAAACAAAAACAAUAGCAAUUAGAAAGUCUUCCCAUGCGCUUCAUGCUCAAGUCAGCCAUGUUUGAAAUUACAUUUAGAAUACAAUCAGUUCUAAGAUGUCGACACAAUACAAAUAGCUAGCAUAAGAGUUGUUUAGGUUAUGAUUAAAUCCAGGUUGUGAAUGGACUCGAUUUCUUUCCUCUAGUUUGUGUCAAUUAUCUUCUAUAUUUUCUUUCUAAAAGACAUUAUGUUCUUCCUUAAUUGCUAAUGAAAUCUCAUUUGAUAAAAGAGCAAAUAUUUCUUUAAUACAUCUAUUUACUCAGUUAUAUGUAUAUAAAAUUUAUUUAUGAAAAACAAAUGUCUUUCAAACAAAUUUUGUUGACAAUAAAUAUAUAUAUAAAUAGAA